rnacentral:lncRNA from 13 species
CGGACCUCUGAGACUAUCACAGUGCAGGUGCAUUUAUACGGAGACUUGAUUACACACAGGUGGAUUGUAUUUAUCAUCAUUAGUCAUUUAGGUACACAUUGGAUCAUUCAGAGAUCCUCACUGAACUUCUGGAGAGUGUUUGCUGCACUGAAAGUAAAGGGGCUGAAUAAUUUUGCACGCCCAAUUUUUCAGUUUUUGAUUUGUUAAAAAAGUUUGAAAUAUCCAAUAAAUGUCGUUCCACUUCAUGAUUGUGUCCCACUUGUUGUUGAUUCUUCACAAAAAAAUACAGUUUUAUAUCUUUAUGUUUGAAGCCUGAAAUGUGGCAAAAGGUCGCAAAGUUCAAGGGGGCCGAAUACUUUCGCAAGGCACUGUAUAUCAUGUUGUUUGAUCUGUAACUGUGAGGAGAUACUAUAUAAUGUUGUUGUCUCUGUAACCAUGAGGAGGAGAUACUAUAUAAUGUUGUUGUCUCUGUAACCAUGAGGAGGAGAUACUAUAUAAUGUUGUUGGGUCUGUAACCGUGAGGAGAUACAAUAUAAUGUUGUUGGGUCUGUAACCGUGAGGAGGGGAUACUAUAUAAUGUUGUUGGGUCUGCAACCAUGAGGAGGGUCUGUAACCAUGAGGAGGGUCUGUAACCGUGAGGAGGGGAUACUAUAUAAUGUUGUUGGGUCUGCAACCAUGAGGAGGGGAUACUAUAUAAUGUUGUUGGGUCUGGAACCGUGAGGAGGGGAUACUAUAUAAUGUUGUUGGGUCUGCAACCAUGAGGAGACACUAUAUAAUGUUGUUGGGUCUGUAACCAUGAGGAGGAGAUACUAUAUAAUGUUGUUGGGUCUGUAACCGUGAGAAGGAGAUACUAUAUAAUGUUGUUGUCUCUGUAACCGUGAGGAGAUACUAUAUAAUGUUGUUGGGUCUGGAACCGUGAGNNNNNNNNNNCCUUGUUCUCACCCAAUGGGCCCUGGUAAAAAAA